rnacentral:lncRNA from 1 species
UUUUUCAUCAAGAUUUGGAAGAGUGUGAAGGAAUGACAAUGAAACAGCUCCUGAAGCAUAGAAAAUGUAAGAAGAAAGGUUGAAUUGUUUAGCAACUUCAUGUACAUCAGUUGAAAAUACACCAAAGACUAAAGAAACAAGGUGAGUUUUAGAAAUGAGUGAUUCCACUUCUUCAAUGAGAAACGGAACAGAGUUUUUAACAAUGAGUUUCAUUUGUGAUGCAGGUUCAAGAUUUGGUGGAAGAUUCUUUACUUGAGGAAGAAGAAUAAAAUCAAUGUUUGGUGGAAGAGAAUAUAAAAUGUCUUGCAUGGAAGAGGAUAAUGGACCAAACGUGGGAACAAGGAAUGUGACAUGAAAUUGAAUAUGGU